UAAUUCCCAAUUUCACAAAACAAAACAACCCUUAAAAGCUACAUCCUUUCUCAUCCAGCCAUUCCUCUCGAUUCGGCAGUUCCUACACGCCUCUCCACCUAUGCACAGCUCGAUGUCGUUGCAAAUGACUUCAGCUCCUGACUCUGUGUGUGUGUGUGUAUGUCAAAUCCUCGUCGCUUGGUGGGUAAUCCUCUACUAGUGCUGGUGGGUGGGCUGGUACGGAUUCAGCUGCCUCUUAUAUAGUAUCUUCUUCUUCAGUGAGCUAUAGAUUGAGGAUGUUGAUUGCUCAGGUGUGCUCGCUGGAAUCUAAUGAAUCUAAUGGUUGGUUGGAUUGACGACAAAGAUGGCUAGCUUAGCGGCGACGAACGAGUAGUAGAGCUUCU
rnacentral:lncRNA from 1 species